AGCGGCGGAAGGGAGAGGACAACAUGGGAAACUGCCCUGGGGACGAGGAUAGCGUCGGGAAACUGACGGUAAUACUCGAUAAUGUUUGCGGACCAAAGGUGUGAUUCCGCCCCAGGAUGUGCCCAUGCCCCAUUAGCUAGUUGGCGGUGUAAUGGACCACCAAGGCUAUGAUGGGUAGCUGGUGUGAGAGCACGACCAGCCUCACUGGCACUGAGACACUGGCCAGACACCUACGGGUGGCUGCAGUCGAGAAUCUUCGGCAAUGGACGAAAGUCUGACCGAGCGACGCCGCGUGCGGGAUGAAGGCCUUCGGGUUGUAAACCGCUGUCGAGGGGAAUCAAAUGCAAGGGGGUUCUCCCCCCUGCUUGAGAGAACCCUGGAGGAAGGGGAGGCUAAGCUCGUGCCAGCAGCCGCGGUAAGACGAGCUCCCCAAACGUUAUUCGGUAUCACUGGGCUUAAAGAGUUCGUAGGCGGCGAAGUAGGUGAGGUGUGAAAGCCCUCGGCU
rnacentral:rRNA from 1 species